AGCCAUAGGGAAGAUGAAAAAUCCUCAGCAGCCCUCCCCCUUCUCUCCAUUCGACCAUUCCUUCGCAAAACCUGAUCGGAACCCUGAGUAGCUGUUGGCGGAGCCCUGAGCGGCUGUCGGCUGAGCCAUCGCCUCGAUGGCGUCGACAGUUCCCGUCGCCCUCUUUCUCUUCUCUUCUCUAAUUCUCUGUCUUCAAUUCUUCCCCAUCGAAGUCGUUCGUCGCUGUCAUCGGUCGAAGUCAUCUUCCGUCAAAUUUAGGAUAAAGAUCCUCCAUCCCUGGUCCGUGUUUUGUCCACCGACCGCCAUCAUCGUCGACAGAUCCUCCAAAUUUUUUGGAUAAGGAUCCUCCGAAUUUAAGAUUUUAAAGUUUAUUGCCGUGCUACCGUCGCCCUAGUUGGGAGCCUGGGGUUCAACACCUUGCUGGAGCCAAGGAAUCCUCUCAAAGAGACCAUCUAUGUCUUUUCUUAUUGCACUAAAGCAUCGAAUUAUUGAGCAUCUGUAAUGAUGAUCGGAUGUGAGGAUCCCGACUCUGUUGAUGAAGAUGGAGAUGGAAGAUCGCAACGAUGAUCACACAGUUAUUCCCAGGCGGCAGGCAUGGCACCGUCACGGAGCAUGACACCCUGACAGUUGACACCACCUGGAGGAUCCGAAUGGCAUGACCAAACGAGCCCUCCUUAUAAGCAAAACAUUCGUGACCCACCCUGCUACCCCAAAUGAAAGUCAUUAUUGUUUAUUUUAUUAUUUUGUGGCUCUUCUAAACUCAAAAGAGUGCUGUGCCCCCCACCCCCCGCCCCAACUCUCAAAUACUUCAUCCCUACUUCCUAUAAAUCUCACAUCCUUGAGGGCCUCUCUCUCUCUCUCUUUCUGUCUCUCUAUCUUUUUUCUCACGUGCUCUGUUGCAACAAUGCUACGUCGUUUCUCUGUUCUCAACGGGUGGAGAAAUCCCUUUUCGGACUGUCCAUCGUCAAACCCUAAGUGAAAGGAGCCGCUUUCCUCGAGAUGGAGGCUAUCUUGGAGGACUAUAGCUACUAAUGGGAUUGGAGAAAGUAGAUCAAACAAACUUGAUACGAUCUCAAUUUCCUCGUCCGAAAGAUAUCACGAAAUAUCGACGAGAGAGAGCGUGGCGGGACUUUGACGGAUUCCGACAAGAUAGCAAUGGAGAAAAAAAAAAUAAAGCAGCAGGCAGCGGCUGGGAGGAGAGGAAACAACAGGGCCGGCGCGAGUGCUCGAUCGAAGGCGGACAUUGGCCAGGCCGGUCUGAAUGAAGUUUGGACUGGUCCGAAUUUUGGUGGUACUGACAGGUCCAGGGGCAUUGGGCCAUAAGAGGUGGGGGAAUAUCAAGUCUUGAGAAAAUGGUCAAGCUGUCAAGCACAAGCACACAGGCAAUGUUUUGUUAGGGAUGGUUAAGUUUGAAUGAAAAUGAAUAACUUCUGUGCUAUAUUUGAUUGAAGGGAGUCUUAUUUUUAUUUUCAAUCUAGGAGAAAAUUGAAUUGUCUUGAUUUUUC